rnacentral:rRNA from 1 species
CCUACGGGAGGCAGCAGUGAGGAAUAUUGGUCAAUGGCCGGAAGGCUGAACCAGCCAAGUCGCGUGAGGGACGACUGCCCUAUGGGUUGUAAACCUCUUUUAUAAGGGAAGAAUAAAUGCUACGUGUAGCAUGAUGCCUGUACCUUAUGAAUAAGCAUCGGCUAACUCCGUGCCAGCAGCCGCGGUAAUACGGAGGAUGCGAGCGUUAUCCGGAUUUAUUGGGUUUAAAGGGUGCGUAGGCGGUUUUUUAAGUUAGUGGUUAAACGUCGGGGCUUCACCUUGAUUUGCCAUUAAUACUGUAAGACUCGAGGUCAGACGAGGUAGGCGGAAUAAGUUAAGUAGCGGUGAAAUGCUUAGAUAUAACUUAGAACUCCGAUAGCGAAGGCAGCUUACCGGACUGCGACUGACGCUGAAGCACGAGAGCGUGGGUAGCGAACAGGAUUAGAUACCCCUGUAGUC